rnacentral:rRNA from 1 species
GAUGAACGUUGGCGGCGUGCCUAAUACAUGCAAGUCGAACGAAGACUGUAGUAAUACUGUCUUAGUGGCGAACGGGUGAGUAACGCGUGGGUGACCUGCCCCGAAGUGUGGGAUAACAGUCCGAAAGGAUUGCUAAUACUGCAUAAUAUCCAAGAGAUUAGAUGCUUUUGGAUUAAAGGAGUAAUUCGCUUCGGGAGGGGCCCGCGUCCCAUCAGCUAGUUGGUAAGGUAAUGGCUUACCAAGGCGAUGACGGGUAGGGACCUGAGAGGGUGGCCCCCCAAAUGGAACUGAAACACGGUCCAUACACCUACGGGUGGCAGCAGUAGGGAAUAUUAGUAAUGGGCGAAAGCCUGAACUAGCAACGCCGCGUGUGCGAAGAAGGCCUUCGGGUCGUAAAGCACUUUUUGAGAGGAUGAGGAAGGACGGUACUCUCAGAAUAAGUCUCGGCUAACUACGUGCCAGCAGCCGCGGUAAAGUGUGUGUA